rnacentral:rRNA from 1 species
CACGUAGGGCGCAAGCGUUGUCCGGAAUUAUUGGGCGUAAAGAGCUCGUAGGCGGUCUGUUGCGUCCGCUGUGAAAACUCGGGGCUUAACCCCGAGCCUGCAGUGGAUACGGGCAGACUAGAGGUAGGUAGGGGAGAAUGGAAUUCCCGGUGUAGCGGUGAAAUGCGCAGAUAUCGGGAGGAACACCGGUGGCGAAGGCGGUUCUCUGGGCCUUACCUGACGCUGAGGAGCGAAAGCUAGGGGAGCAAACAGG